CUCUGCUCCAUAUGUGUGGCGGGCAGGAAGCUCCUGUUGUGGACCCAUGCACUUUGGCAACAUACAGGUGCAGAGACAUGGAGACUGCCUUCAAAUGUGGAACUGUUUUCUACUGUCAGAAAUUUGCCUGGAAUCGUUACAACACACUUUAAAAUGUGAAAGAUUGGACUGAUUUCAAUGUUCCCAUUGACGACCAAGAUCUUUCACCAGCAAGCUGCAAUUAUUUCACUUAUUGCUCGGCCCCUGUGCCAUUCUCUAUGAUAAAUAACCUUUCCAGACACUGUCACACUGAUCGAUAUCUUGUGCAUUUUUUGAUUUUGCAUCGCCUGCCGGAACUAGCUUGACAAAAUAUCAUAAACAAGAAGGUGAUUUGAAUUGUAAUGGGAUUAAAAGUAUUAACAAACAGAUACAAAGCUCAACUCUAGGAAGAGAAAGUUGAAUGAUGAGGAUAUAAAAAUGAAAGGUCUUCACAAAUAUUCUCUUUCCUCGACAAGAUUUUUGUACCAAUCUUUGUUAUGUACAUACAGUUUCAUUGCUUUGUCUGCUGUUUAGUUUAUUUUCGUAAUCCUUCAUACAGUCAGAUGAUCGCAGGAGAAUUAUCUGAAUAAAUGUUUAUUAUACAACACUAUAUAUAACACACUUAUAUACAUACUAAUCACUUCAUUCUUCUCCUCUUCUGCCAAUAAACAGCUUAAAAAUAUUA